AUUGAACGCUGGCGGCAGGCUUAACACAUGCAAGUCGAGCGGAGCGAGGGUGCUUGCACCUUAGCUUAGCGGCGGACGGGUGAGUAAUGCUUAGGAAUCUGCCUAUUAGUGGGGGACAACAUUCCGAAAGGAAUGCUAAUACCGCAUACGCCCUACGGGGGAAAGCAGGGGAUCUUCGGACCUUGCGCUAAUAGAUGAGCCUAAGUCGGAUUAGCUAGUUGGUGGGGUAAAGGCCUACCAAGGCGACGAUCUGUAGCGGGUCUGAGAGGAUGAGCCGCCACACUGGGACUGGGACACGGCCCAGACUGCUACGGGAGGCAGCAGUGGGGAAUAUUGGACAAUGGGCGGAAGCCUGAUCCAGCCAUGCCGCGUGUGUGAAGAAGGCCUUUUGGUUGUAAAGCACUUUAAGCGAGGAGGAGGCUCUUAAGGUUAAUACCCUUGAUGAGUGGACGUUACUCGCAGAAUAAGCACCGGCUAACUCUGUGCCAGCCGCCGCCGUAACAC
rnacentral:rRNA from 1 species